UACGUAGGGGGCAAGCGUUGUCCGGAUUUAUUGGGCGUAAAGAGCGUGUAGGCGGUUAGGUAGGUCCGUUGUGAAAACUCGAGGCUCAACCUCGAGACGCCGAUGGAAACCCCCUAACUGGAGUCCGGAAGAGGAGAGUGGAAUUCCUGGUGUAGCGGUGAAAUGCGCAGAUAUCAGGAAGAACACCCGUGGCUAAGGCGGCUCUCUAGUACGGUACUGACGCUGAGACGCGAAAGCGUGGGGAGCGAACAGG
rnacentral:rRNA from 1 species